rnacentral:tRNA from 1 species
GGCUCAGUAGCUUAAUUGGUAAAGCGCCUGCCUAGCAUACAGGCGCCGUGGGUUCGAAUCUCACCAGAGCGC